rnacentral:tRNA from 1 species
AGGGGCGUGGUCUAGUGGUAUGACUCCUGUUUUUGGUACAGGCUAUCGUAGGUUCGAAUCCUGCCGCCCCUG